GACGAACGCUGGCGGCGUGCUUAACACAUGCAAGUCGAACGGAAAGGCCCCUUUGGGGGUCCUCGAGUGGCGAACGGGGGAGUAACACGUGAGUAACCUGCCCUUGACUUCGGGAUAACUUCAGGAAACUGGGGCUAAUACCGGAUAGGAAUCCUUGCUGCAUGGUGGGGGUUGGAAAGCUUCGGCGGUUUUGGAUGGACGCGCGGCUUAUCAGCUUGUUGGUGGGGUAGUGGCUUACCAAGGCUUUGACGGGUAGCCGGCCUGAGAGGGCGACCGGCCACAUUGGGACUGAGAUACGGCCCAGACUCCUACGGGAGGCAGCAGUGGGGAAUAUUGCACAAUGGGCGGAAGCCUGAUGCAGCAACGCCGCGGGCGGGAUGACGGCCUUCGGGUUGUAAACCGCUUUCAGCAGGGGCGAAGCUUGUGGUGACGGUACCUGCAGAAGAAGCACCGGCUAACUACGUG
rnacentral:rRNA from 1 species